rnacentral:rRNA from 1 species
AUGGAUCAAUCAAUUGAUAUUCUUCUCGCAAAUGCUUGUCAAGGAGAUGACAACCUACGGUCAAUAGCAGAAGGCAAACUAAAGCAGCUCCAUGAUCUUGACCUUUCCAACUUCCUCCUAGGUUUAUCAUCUCAGCUCUCGAGGGAGGAGACUCCAGAAGAGUCUAGCAUACUUGCUGGUAUCAUCCUUAAGAACUCCUUGGACUCAGGGGAGCCUGCACUCGACGAUCUAGGGAGUCGAAAAUGGCUCAGCCUCGAUCCAUCUAUCCAAUCACAGAUUAAGGAGAACUUGCUCCUGACUCUAGAAUCCAAUUGUGAUUCAAGGCGCCGCUCAUCAAAAAUUAUUGCAAAAGUUAUUGCAUGGGUUGCAUGCAUUGAGAUACCAAGGAAUCAAUGGGAGGAGCUCAUUGGCAAAUUGGUGGGGAACAUGUCAAUGCCAUCUUCUUCCCUAAAGCAAGCAACUCUAGAGGUGCUCGAGUAUGUCUUCGAGGAGAUCCCUUAUGUUCUGAAGGAGGAUCAAGUGGAUGCUGUUCUCGCUAGUGUCAUCAAUGAAGUGAAAAUGGAGGAGGGAGGAGAGCCAAGUUCUCAAGUUCGUCUCGCAGCUCUUAAAGCUCUACUCAACAUUCUUAAGUUUAUUGAGCUUGCUAAGCUUGAAGAGGAAAGUGGCAGCAGUUCUAUAGUGGCUGCAGUUUGUGAUGGUGCCUCUCGAUCCAAGGAAACCAAGAUCAAAGAGGCGGCAUUUGAGUGUCUUGUUGUAGUUGCAUCCAGAUAUCAUACCAAAUUAUUACCCCACAUGGAAAUCAUAGUGAGUCUUACAGUGGAAGCUUUGAAAGUGAAAGAAGAUGAAGAAUCACUCAGAGUCCAAUGUAUUGAGUUGUGGAACACUAUUUGCCGAAAAGAGAUUAAUUGCCGAGAAGAAGAAGAAGAAGAAGAAGAAGAAGAUGAAGAAGGAGGAGGAGGAGGAGGAGGAGACUCUAUCUUUAUUGGUCAUCUUUGUUCAUUUGUUCAACCUCUCCUAGAAGCUUACUUGGAAAAAGAGAAAAACUUGGAAAAAGAGAAAAAAGAACAAGAAGUCAUUUCCAUGAGUGUAGAAGAAGAGGGAGAAGAAGAGGGAGAUGAUAAUUUAGAGGACAUGGACAUUUCCGUGAGUGCAGAACAAGAGGGAGUAAACCUUGACGACAUCUGGGAACAAGUGGAAGAUGAGAGUGUGCAAGACAUUUUCAUGACAUGCCUAGGCCUGGCCACUAGAACUAUGAAGGAUAAAGUUGUCCCCCUUGUGAUGAAAUUUGUUCACGAGAACAUCAAUGGGCCUAGUCGCAUGAUGGCCAUUUAUCCAUUAGGUUUUAUCCUUGAAGGUCCCUCUGUUAAUCAACUUGCUCCUGUAGUUCCUUUAUUGGUUCGCAUGAUGGAAGAUCCUCAGGAAGGUGAAGGUGUAAGAGGGAGGGCUGCAUGGAUUCUUGGACGGGUGUUUGAGCUUGUGGGAGCAAAUAGAAUCAUAAAAAAUGAGGUGGUGGACUUUCCUAGGAUCAUGACUCUCUUAAUAAAGAUGAGCAAAGAUGUCCCUCAAGUGUCCAUUGAAGUGUAUGGAGCUAUAUACUUUAUUGCAAGAGGUUAUAGAGAGGAUGCAAAGUCCACGUCCAAGUCAUCUGAGCUUACACCUUUUGUUAAGCCUCUUAUUGAUGCCCUACUUUCUGCUUCAGAACUUGUUAAGGAGACCCCUUUUAGGAUUCCACCAUGUGCAUCUACUUAUAAAGCAUUGAGUGAGAUCGUGAGAGUGAGCAACAUUGAAGAACUAGAAAUUAGUGAUGCUCUUAUUGGAUUAAUGUCUCAAAUCUUCAGGAGGUUGAGCACUGUGGUUAAAGGUCAUGGUGAAGCAAUGUCAUCAGAUGAGAGGAAGAACUGUGGCCUUCUUGAGGUCUUGCAUUGUGGUCUACUUGAACUCUCAAUGAAGCAGCUGGGCAGGAGCAACUUCGAGGUGGAGGCAGCAUUCACACUUAGGGACUCUGCUAGCUGUUUAUUGCUCCUAUUGUGCCGUGUCUUAACGAGUGACAAUCCUACUGCACGUGCUCGAGCAGCACUUGCCAUUGGUGCUCUUGCUCAUGCCAUUGGUUGUCAUUUUGGACAACACAUGCCUAUCCUCCUACAAUAUUUUAAUGUGAAACGACUCUCUCCGGUUUACAUAGGAGUGAUGUGCAGUAUCUGUCAUAUCUUGGGAAAAGAGGAAGAAGUGGUGCCAUCCUGGGAUCAUAUUAUGGAAGUUCUGUACAAGGGUAUCCAAGAAUUGUCACUUCAACCGUCAAUUUUAUCAAGCUUUGGAGAGAUUGCUGUUGCUAUUGGUGACAAAUUUGAGAAGUACGUGCCUCCAGUUUUGGAAAAGCUUAGAGAAGCUGAAGCUGCUCAUUUGAAGUUAGGAGAUGAGGAUCAUGGUAGCAAGGUUAGAGAGUCAAUAUUCAAGGCUUACCAUGGCAUGAUGGAGGGCAUAAAUGACCCAAAGUGUGGGAUGAAGGUAGGAAUGGCUCUGUAUGAAUUUAUUGAAGAUGACCAGAGCAACACCAAGAGAAGGGAUACAAGUGUGGCCAUGGCAGGAGUUGAUGCUUUGUCUCUACUACCUAUGAGGGUGGGGGCUUGGUCAGAGCGAUUAAUUGUAUUGAUGAAAGAAGGGUUUAUUAGUAGGCAGUGA